rnacentral:rRNA from 1 species
CCUACGGGUGGCAGCAGUGAGGAAUCUUCCUCAAUGGACGAGAGUCUGAUCCAGCCACGUCGCGUGAAUGAUGACUGUCCUCUGGUCUUUAAACUUCUUUUAUAAAGGAAUAAAACGAUGCGAGUGUGCCUUUUCGCAUCUACUUUAUGUAUAAGGAUCGGCUAACUUCGCUCCAGCAGCCGCGGUAAUACGGUGGAUCCGAGCGUUAUCCGGAUUUAUUUGGUUUAACGGGAACGUAGAGGGGUUGUUAAGUCAGUUGUGAAAGUUUGCGGCUCAACCGGAACAUUGCAAUUGAUACUGGCAGUCUUGAGUACAGUAGAGGUAGGUGGAAUUCGUGGUGUAGCGGUGAAAUGCGUAGAUAUAACGAAGAACCCCGAUUGCGAAGGCAGCUUACUAAACUGUGACUGACAUUGAUGUUCGAAAGUGUGGGUAUCAAACAGGAUUAGAUACCCUUGUAGUC